rnacentral:rRNA from 1 species
AAUGAACGCUGGCGGAAUGCUUUACACAUGCAAGUCGAACGGCAGCACGGACUUCGGUCUGGUGGCGAGUGGCGAACAGGUGAGUAAUGUAUCGGAACGUGCCCAGUCGUGGGGGAUAACGUAGUGAAAAUUACGCUAAUACCGCAUACGAUCUAUGGAUGAAAGCGGGGGAUCGCAAGACCUCGCGCGAUUGGAGCGGCCGAUAUCAGAUUAGGUAGUUGGUGGGGUAAAGGCCCACCAAGCCAACGAUCUGUAGCUGGUCUGAGAGGACGACAAGCCAGACUGGAACUGAGACACUGUCAAGACUCCUACGGGAGGCAGCAGUGGGGAAUUUUGGACAAUGGGCGAAAGCCUGAUCCAGCCAUUCCGCGUGCAGGAUGAAGGCCCUCGGGUUGUAAACUGCUUUUGUACAGAACGAAAAGGUUUCUACUAAUACUAGGAGCUCAUGACGGUACUGUAAGAAUAAGCACCGGCUAACUACGUGCCAGCCGCCGCAGUAA